CAUCCUCGAUCUGCUGCGGGCAGAUGUAAUGGAUAUGGCUGUCGAACCCGCCCGCGGUCAGGAUCUUGCCCUCGCCCGCGAUGACCUCGGUGCCGGGGCCGACGACGAUGUCGACGCCGGGCUGGGUGUCGGGAUUGCCGGCCUUGCCGAUCUUCGCGAUCCGGCCGUCCCGGAGGCCGACAUCCGCCUUGUAGAUGCCGGUCCAGUCAAGGAUCAGCGCAUUGGUGAUGACGGUAUCGACCGCGCCCUCGGCACGGGUCGCCUGCGACUGGCCCAUGCCGUCGCGAAUG
rnacentral:sRNA from 1 species